GGGAAGAAAGCAUAAUGAUGCGGUUGACUUGAAAUCAUCAGAUGGCAGUUAAAUCUGUCUUUUCUCG
rnacentral:tRNA from 1 species